rnacentral:rRNA from 1 species
AGAGUUUGAUCAUGGCUCAGGAUGAACGCUGGCGGCGUGCUUAACACAUGCAAGUCGAACGAAGCACUUUAACCUGAUUCUUCGGAUGAAGGUUUUUGUGACUGAGUGGCGGACGGGUGAGUAACGCGUGGGUAACCUGCCUCAUACAGGGGGAUAACAGUUAGAAAUGGCUGCUAAUACCGCAUAAGACCACGGAGCCGCAUGGCUCAGUGGGAAAAACUCCGGUGGUAUGAGAUGGACCCGCGUCUGAUUAGGUAGUUGGUGGGGUAACGGCCUACCAAGCCAACGAUCAGUAGCCGACCUGAGAGGGUGACCGACCACAUUGGGACUGAGACACGGCCCAAACUCCUACGGGAGGCAGCAGUGGGGAAUAUUGCACAAUGGGGGAAACCCUGAUGCAGCGACGCCGCGUGAGCGAAGAAGUAUUUCGGUAUGUAAAGCUCUAUCAGCAGGGAAGAAAAUGACGGUACCUGACUAAGAAGCAACGGCUAAAUACGCGCCAGCAGCCGCGGUAAUACGUAGGGAGCGAGCGUUGUCCGGAAUGACUGGGUGUAAAGGGAGCGUAGGCGGGAUGGCAAGUCAGAUGUGAAACCUGAGGGCUCAACCUUCAGACUGCAUUUGAAACUGCUGUUCUUGAGUGAAGUAGAGGUAAGCGGAAUUCCUGGUGUAGCGGUGAAAUGCGUAGAGAUCAGGAGGAACAUCGGUGGCGAAGGCGGCUUACUGGGCUUUUACUGACGCUGAGGCUCGAAAGCGUGGGGAGCAAACAGGAUUAGAUACCCUGGUAGUCCACGCUGUAAACGAUGAUUACUAGGUGUGGGGGGAUUGACCCCUUCCGUGCCGCAGUUAACACAAUAAGUAAUCCACCUGGGGAGUACGACCGCAAGGUUGAAACUCAAAGGAAUUGACGGGGGCCCGCACAAGCAGUGGAGUAUGUGGUUUAAUUCGAAGCAACGCGAAGAACCUUACCAGGUCUUGACAUCGAGUGACGUAUCCAGAGAUGGAUAUUUCCUUCGGGACACAAAGACAGGUGGUGCAUGGUUGUCGUCAGCUCGUGUCGUGAGAUGUUGGGUUAAGUCCCGCAACGAGCGCAACCCUUAUCAUUAGUUGCUACGCAAGAGCACUCUAAUGAGACUGCCGUUGACAAAACGGAGGAAGGUGGGGAUGACGUCAAAUCAUCAUGCCCCUUAUGACCUGGGCUACACACGUACUACAAUGGCGAUCGAACAGAGGGAAGCAAGACAGCGAUGUGGAGCCAAUCCCAAAAAAUCGCCCCAGUUCAGAUUGCAGGCUGCAACUCGCCUGCAUGAAGUCGGAAUUGCUAGUAAUCGCAGAUCAGCAUGCUGCGGUGAAUACGUUCCCGGGCCUUGUACACACCGCCCGUCACACCAUGGGAGUCGGUAACACCCAAAGCCGGUCGUCUAACCUUCGGGAGGACGCCGUCUAAGGUGGGAUUGAUGACUGGGGUGAAGUCGUAACAAGGUA